rnacentral:rRNA from 1 species
GACGUAGGGCGCGAGCGUUGUCCGGAUUUAUUGGGCGUAAAGAGCUCGUAGGCGGCUUGUCGCGUCGGCUGUGAAAUCCCGUGGCUCAACUGCGGGCUUGCAGCCGAUACGGGCAGGCUAGAGUUCGGUAGGGGAGACUGGAAUUCCUGGUGUAGCGGUGAAAUGACGCAGAUAUCAGGAGGAACACCGGUGGCGAAGGCGGGUCUCU